UAGGGGCUAUGUGCACAUAGAUGAAGAUGU
rnacentral:piRNA from 1 species